UACGUAGGUGGCAAGCGUUGUCCGGAAUUAUUGGGCGUAAAGCGCGCGCAGGCGGUUCUUUAAGUCUGAUGUGAAAGCCCACGGCUCAACCGUGGAGGGUCAUUGGAAACUGGAGAACUCGAGUACAGAAGAGGAAAGCGGAAUUCCACGUGUAGCGGUGAAAUGCGUAGAGAUGUGGAGGAACACCAGUGGCGAAGGCGGCUUUCUGGUCUGUAACUGACGCUGAGGCGCGAAAGCGUGGGGAGCAAACAGG
rnacentral:rRNA from 1 species